UACGUAGGGUGCGAGCGUUGUCCGGAAUUAUUGGGCGUAAAGGGCUCGUAGGCGGUCUGUUGCGUCGGGAGUGAAAACUCAGGGCUUAACCCUGAGCCUGCUUCCGAUACGGGCAGACUAGAGGUAUGCAGGGGAGAACGGAAUUCCUGGUGUAGCGGUGAAAUGCGCAGAUAUCAGGAGGAACACCGGUGGCGAAGGCGGUUCUCUGGGCAUUACCCGACGCUGAGGAGCGAAAGUGUGGGGAGCGAACAGG
rnacentral:rRNA from 1 species